GACGAACGCUGGCGGCGUGCCUAAUACAUGCAAGUCGAACGAGAGCGACCGGUGCUUACACUGGUCAAUCUAGUGGCGAACGGGUGAGUAACACGUGGGUAACCUGCCCAUCAGAGGGGGAUAACAUCCGGAAACGGAUGCUAAAACCGCAUAGGUCUUCGAACCGCAUGGUUUGAAGAGGAAAAGAGGCGCAAGCUUCUGCUGAUGGAUGGACCCGCGGUGCAUUAGCUAGUUGGUGAGGUAACGGCUCACCAAGGCCGUGAUGCAUAGCCGACCUGAGAGGGUGAUCGGCCACAUUGGGACUGAGACACGGCCCAAACUCCUACGGGAGGCAGCAGUAGGGAAUCUUCCGCAAUGGACGCAAGUCUGACGGAGCAACGCCGCGUGAGUGAAGAAGGUUUUCGGAUCGUAAAACUCUGUUGUUAGAGAAGAGCAAGUGCUAGAGUAACUGUUAGCGC
rnacentral:rRNA from 1 species